AGGAAACUCUGGUGGAAGCUCGCAGCGGUUCUGACGUGCAAAUCGAUCGUCAAAUUUGGGUAUAGGGGCGAAAGACUAAUCGAACCAUCUAGUAGCUGGUUCCCUCCGAAGUUUCCCUCAGGAUAGCUGGAGCCCGGUGCAGUUUUAUCAGGUAAAGCGAAUGAUUAGAGGUCUUGGGGUUGAAACAACCUCAACCUAUUCUCAAACUUUAAAUGGGUAAGAAGUCCGGCUUGCUCGGUUGAAGUCGGACGGUGGAAUGCCGGGGCUCCCAGUGGGCCAUUUUUGGUAAGCAGAACUGGCGAUGCGGGAUGAACCGAACGCCGGGUUAAGGUGCCCGAAUCGACGCUCAUCAGAUCCCAUGAAAGGUGUUGGUUGAUCUAGACAGCAGGACGGCGGCCAUGGAAGUCGGAAUCCGCUAAGGAGUGUGUAACAACUCACCUUGCCGAAUCACUAGCCUGAAAAUGGAUGGCGCUGAAGCGUCGUACCCACACCCGGCCCGUCGGGUCGAGUUGCAAGUCCCGACGAGUAGGAGGGCGCCGGCGGUGGCCGUGCAGCCUCGGGCGCGAGUCCGGGCGAAGCCGCCGCCGGUGCGGAUCUUGGUGGUAGUAGCAAAUAUUCAAACGAGAGCUUUGAAGACUGAAGUGGGGAAGGGUUCCAUGUCUACAGCAAUUGGACAUGGGUUAGUCGAUCCUGAGAGGAGGGAGAGGUCCCCCUGUAAGGCGCAGUCGUCUCGUUGCGACGGCGCCGUUCCUCGAAAGGGAGUCGGGUUAAGAUUCCCGAACCGGGAGGCGGAUAGGCCCUCGGGCCGUGAGCGGCGACGCAAGCGAACUCGGAGACGUCGGCGGGAGCUCCGGGAAGAGUUCUCUUUUCUUCUUAACGGGCUGUCCCCCUGGAAUCAGAUUGGCUGGAGAUAGGGUCUAAUGCCCGGUAAAGCGCCACACUUGUUGUGGCGUCCGGUGCGCUCCCGACGGCCCUUGAAAAUCCGAGGGAGCG
rnacentral:rRNA from 1 species